rnacentral:rRNA from 1 species
GAUGAACGCUGACAGAAUGCUUAACACAUGCAAGUCAACUGUGGCGGACGGGUGAGUAACGCGUAAAGAACUUGCCUCACAGCUAGGGACAACAUUUGGAAACGAAUGCUAAUACCUGCUACUGUGAGAGAGCUUUGCGUCCCAUUAGCUAGUUGGAGAGGUAACGGCUCACCAAGGCGAUGAUGGGUAGCCGGCCCGAGAGGGUGAUCGGCCACAAGGGGACUUAGAACCGGACCUUACUCCUACGGGAGGUAGCAGUGGGGAAUAUUGGACAAUGGACCAAAGGCUGAACCAACAAUUCUGUGUGCAGGAUGAAGUUCUCGGAAGGUAAAGUGCUUUCAGUUGGGAAGCAGUACCAACAGAAGAAGUGACGGCUAAAUCCGUGCCAGCAGCCGCGGUAAUUC